GCAUGGUGUGUUGGGAAAGCCUUUGCGGCAUGGGAUGGGGUCGCGUCCUAUCAGCUUGAUGGCGGGGUAACGGCCCACCAUGGCUUCGACGGGUAGCCGGCCUGAGAGGGCGACCGGCCACAUUGGGACUGAGAUACGGCCCAGACUCCUACGGGAGGCAGCAGUGGGGAAUAUUGCACAAUGGGCGCAAGCCUGAUGCAGCGACGCCGCGUGAGGGAUGGAGGCCUUCGGGUUGUAAACCUCUUUUGUUAGGGAGCAAGGCAUUUUGUGUUGAGUGUACCUUUCGAAUAAGCACCGGCUAACUACGUGCCAGCAGCCGCGGUAAUACGUAGGGUGCAAGCGUUAUCCGGAAUUAUUGGGCGUAAAGGGCUCGUAGGCGGUUCGUCGCGUCCGGUGUGAAAGUCCAUCGCUUAACGGUGGAUCCGCGCCGGGUACGGGCGGGCUUGAGUGCGGUAGGGGAGACUGGAAUUCCCGGUGUAACGGUGGAAUGUGUAGAUAU
rnacentral:rRNA from 1 species